UUGCUAUCUGCGAUAUGGAAGAUUCGAACCUGCCGCAGGUUCGGGUCUCACGUAGUGAGACAACGGAGCCGCUUGCGGCGACGGCCCGAAGGGCGAGCGAAGCGAGUCAUCCUGCACGACCCACCA
rnacentral:sRNA from 13 species